AUUUAUUUAAAAACUAAUUAUCUGCAGAUGGAGCCAGUGUAAAUAAAAAAAAAAGAAAAAAAAACCUUGUUCUGCUGUGACAUUAUGACAGCUAUAACAUCAGUAGGCAAUAGGAAUUUUUCAGCUCCAUUGUAAUCAUAUGGGACCACUGUCAUAUAGGCAGUACAUCAUUGACUGAAAUGUCAUUAUAUAGUGUAUGCCUAUUUAUAAAUUUGGAUGUUUAUAUAUUUCUAAAAUGUUUUAUAACUACUGAAACUAUAUCUGUAAAUUGUGAGUAGGAUGUUAUUUACAAAUACUUGGAUUUAUUCUCAUUUAAAAAUAUUGUCUGUGUCUAUUACUUGUAAUUUUACAUUUACUUAUAGCUUACAGUUUGUUAAGAGAAUUUUUUAAAAUUCAUUUUACUUUUCUGAAAUAAUUCAUGCAUAGUUAUUAUAUUAAUAUUAUAUGUCUACGUGCACCUUGGUACUAUUUAUUAGCAAAGUAGAAGUAGAAAAACAGAAGAGUAACUUGUACAAAUGUUAGAGGUACCCUUUUUUUUGAAAAGGAGUACCAGACCAAAUACAAUGUAACAUCCAAAAUAAUGGAAGUUCUCUGAGGGUGGGUUUUUUUUUUUUUAUUAUUUCUUUUAUUCAUAUGCUCUCCUUAGCCUGUAAGAGUAUUUGAUAAUAGGUAACUGAUAAUCAUUGUUGGAUAAACAGAUUCAAGUUUUAAAGUUUGCAUGGUGUUCUAUUUUAAAAUUUGGUUAAUGUUUAAGAGAUUUUAAGGAAACCUAAAAGUUAUACACUGUGACUGCUGGUUGCAGUUUGAGCAUAAACUUGUUGGAAAAAAAAUGACAAAGUAGAUGUUAAAUUGACCAAAUCUGGAGCUAGUGAGCAUUUCAGUGGGACAGGUGGGAAAUAGCAAAAUAAGUAAAGCUAAUAACCCAGAAAGGAAGAGUAGGUUAAUUUCCUUAAGUUUGACCAGUAGCAUUCUAAGAUUCGACUUUAUAUUUUAAAUUAUGUUUUUUACCCAUUUAGUUACACUUGAUAUGUGCAGAAAUAAGUAUAUAUGUUUUAUAAAGUAGACCACUAAAAUAAAACAUUAACUAAACUUUAGGUACAUCAGAAUUGCUGAAAGACUUGCUAAAACACAGAUUACUGAGCCCAUCCCCAGAAUUCAUGGUGCACUUAAUUUGGAAUAGGACCCAAGAAUUUACAUUUCUAACAAGUUUCCAGGUGAUGUUGCUGUUGCAGGUGUGAGAGUAUAUUUUGAGAACUAUAUCUAAAUUGGUGAUUCAUAAUUUUCUUUUUAGAGUGAGCAGAUUAUCCCUCCCAAGAAGGAAAAUGAAAAUUCACUAUGCUUUUUUUCUUCUCUAACAAAUCUGUAGUCCAAUGUAUAAAGGCCUGCAAAAUUCUCUUGAUUUAUUUUUAGGGAAUACCCAAUAAAAAGAUAUAUUUUAGAAACUUUUUCAAUGUAACAGUGAUUAUUUCCUAUAAUAAAGUAUGUGAAUUGUAAUUCACAGUAAGAAAAGGUUUAAUUAAUACCAAUUGUGUCUUAGUCUGUUGGCUGCUGUAACAAAGUAUCAUAGACUGAGUGACUUUUAUAAAUGACUAAAGUUUUCUCACAUUUCGGAGGCUGGGAAGUCCAAGCUCAAGGGACUGGCAGAUUUGAUGUCUGAUGAGGGUGCACUUCCUGGUUCAUAGAGGACAUUGCCUUGCUGUGUCUUCACAAGUGGAAGAGGGGACAAGCAAGGAAGCUCUCUGGGAUUUCUUUCAUAAGGGCUUUAAUUUCAUUCCUGCCUUCAUGACCUAAUCACCUCCCAAAGGUCCCAUCAUAACACCGAUGAUUAGGUUUCAACAUAAGAAUUUGGGGGGACACAAACGUUCAGUUAUAGCACCAAUCAUUAUAUAAAAAUGAGCUUUCACAUGUAAAUAGCUUUAUUUUUGAAACCCAAAGGUCAAGCUCAAUCUAUUUUGGAAAGUCAUCCUUAUUUGUCAGAGAAUAAGAAAAGUAUUUCCAAUUGGUAAAUUCAGAAGAAAUGCUUUAUUGUUAUUGUUGUCCAAUUAUUACUAAAAAGCUUUUCCUUAAUACUGUUGCAGCAAUCAGACAAAAGCUUUUCCAGUUAAUGUAUGAUCACAGAUAAUCAAGCUAUGAUGUUAUCCCAUAAAUUAAUAUUUUCAAUUUACUUUAAAAUCUAUGAAUGUUGUUCUUUUGAUAUAAUUAUUUGAGUACUUAGUUUGGUAAAAUUUUAAAGCUGGAGGGUAUACCGCAUGUUACCUUGUCCAGACCUCUUACUUUACAGAUGUAUAAUCUGAGUACCUUAACCUUGGAGGCCUACACAGGACUGGAAACUCAUUCUCUUGAUAUCCAGUUUGAUAUUCUUUCCAAUACCUUUGGUCAUUAUUUUAUCAGAGGAUAUUUGGAAUUAAAUACUUUCAAAUGCUUGUUGGAUUAAGUGUUUAAGUUUCACCUAUACUUGAAUUAUACAGAGGGAACAGAUCAUUUAUCUGAUACAGAGGCAAUAAACUGUGUGCAGUUAUUUACUUUCUUUAUCUCUGUUUUCUUUAUUAUGCAGAUAAGAUCAGUUAAAAAUAAUAGGACCUUGAUUUCUUUUUUAUAAAUAUCUUUAGGGUUGAUACUGGAUUUAAUGAUAAGGGACUGUAUGUUUCUACCACAUGAUGCUACAAAUAGGACUAUAUGUUUCUUUAUUCCUCUUAUGAAAUAAAAUAUAGUCCUGAUGUCACUAUUAGUAAAGGAGUCAUUUGAAUAUUUAAUAAUGUGCUUUACAAUUCAGGAUUUAUUGUUAAAUUUGGUUUUCUACUAAUACUUUUUAUCUUCUCUGACAUUAUUGAGAAAUGAGUCUUUCUUAAAGAGUAUUUUAUUUCACUUUUAAAAGAAUUACUAAAAUGUUACUUUAUAUUUUGCUCUAUAUUAAAUGGUAAUAACUGUACCAGUAAUCCUAACAAGUACCCUGAAGCCUUCGGCCAAGUGCUAAUCUGCACGUGUGUGGAGCAAAACUCCAUAAGAAGAGGACCAUCAGAGAGUAGAAGGCACAACAACAGGAUGGCAAAAAUUUACAUUUCUGCUAGCCAGAAUGGAUAAACCUUCUGUCAGAAGACACAAUUAUAAUAAAUUAAAAGAUCUUAAUUGGCUUUGCCAGAAUGGGACAGCAUUUUAUUCCAUAAAAUAGAAUAUAUGUUGCAGUGAGCUGAGCAAAAGAGAUUGGUUUUAUAGACAGAGAAGGAAUGGGGGAAGAAAUAAAGAAUAAAGAGCAGAUUGGUUUUUUUAAAGUUACUUUUUUUGUAUAUCAGGAAGAGGAAAACAGAACAAUAGAAAAAUAACUGGUUAACUUCAGGUUACUUUUUGUUGUCAGGAUUAAAACAAAGGGAGUUUCAUUACCAUACUUGUUGAAGAUUAAAACUGGCCCAUUUGGGAAAUUGGCUCUCUCUCUCCCAGUUUCUCAGAAGGUGAAUGACAACUUAGUUUUGGUUUGAUGACAUAGAACUUCAGCCUGAGUGACUUCAUUUGGAUUGUUGGGGCCUAGUUCAGUUUAGUCCAAUGGCUUGUAAUUUUUAUUCAAUACUCCCAAUACAUGGGGCAUCAGGUAGAGUCAUCAGAAAGGUCACACCAUGAUAGUGGGGUGACCUUAGCCCUAAAUCUUCUCUGAAUAUGCUCUAUCAAAACCUAAACCUGAAAACUGAUAUCAAGUAAUUGCAUGCUAGAACAAGGUCCAACAUUCUUUAAAGAAAUACAAGAAAAUCCAGCAUUCACCAAACUAAAAAUCAUGUCUAUGAGUUUCCUAGGGCUGUUGGAGCAAACUACCACAAACUUGGUGGAUUUAAAACAUAAAAUAUUUAUUCACUCACAGUUCUGGAAGCCAAAAGUCUGAAAUCAGAUUAGUCAAGGAGAAAGCAUAAAGAAGGGGAUGGGAUCCAGAUGCCACAUUGUCUUAUAAAGGCUGGCACAGAGAAGUUUCCAAAUGGUUAUGGGCCCAGUUGAAGUAGUGCUAAAGGAAAAAGUGCUCAAGAGUGUGACUGUAUUCAGUGCUUAGCUUGUCAAAUGACUUGGAGAUAUUACGAAUAUCAAUUCUUGGAUUGCAUUAUGGAUAAAACUCCAAGGAACAACUAUGCUUCUGAACUCUACUGCUUGGUGUUCCCUCAGUACACUGGUUUCAUUGUACCAAGGCUCAUUGAGAUUUCUUCAGAAACAACUAUAAUAAUAUUUAAUCCCUUGAAAGAUAAUACAGAAAUAAUUAUUCUGAGGUCUUACAACAGCCUGGCAGACUCUGCCUAAAUCAAGAAAUGGUAUCUGGAAAGCACUGCUUUCCAGCAGUGCUGGAAAAGACUGAAAAUAGUGUGUCAAAAAAAUAAAACUUGCCAGUCCAGUGGCACUGAGACCAUGAUUAUGCCCAAGCAACCCAACGAGCUUUGAGAAAAAGAAGAAUUCUGUUUCAAAUAUGUGAACAGUGGUCAAAAUUUGACUACGUGGAUUUUGCAAAACAUCUCAUUUUAUAGGCCUGUCAUUACCAACAUGGACAUACUAGCUCAUGUCUUCAAACUUCUGUCGCAGAAAGAUUUCUUAAUUACUCUUUUAGCUCAAGAUUUGAGUCAUUGCUGAAGAUAUUCUGUCAUACCAGAUGCCAAACCACAGUGUGCAAGAAAUGGUGUGUUAUAAAAGACACUCAUCAAAAGAAUGGUCAAGAAAGAUAUUCCUAUAGUGAUGCCUGACUGAACAAGGAGAAAACAGGCUGUUCCUUCAAACCUCUGGAUAUGACUGUGCCACCCAACUUCUUUACAGAGCUUUAAUUUACUGUAAAAUAUUGAGAUAAUAAAAUCUAAUUGGACAUGGGGAAGUUAUAAUUUAUUCAGAAUCCACUGCCAAAUUAAAACAAGCAAAGAAAUUUACCACAUACAAUAUGAUGAUCAGAAAACAGUAAGUGAUCUUCAUAUGAGAAAUUCAGAGCACACUGGAUAAAAACGCUGAAAUGCAAGUAAAUUCCCAUGAGCCACGUUGUUUUUGUCCUUCAGUAUGUUAAGAGAAUAAUCCUAACUGAAUGGUUAGAUUUGGCUGCUGGCAUGUGGACAGAUGAUAGCAUGUGAAACCACACUGAUUCCUCAUUGCAUAGCCAGCCUGUACAGUCACACCUUAAAGAUAUUGCCAGUUUGGUUCCAGACCAUUAAGGUGAAUAUCAAUAAGGUGAAUAUCACAAUAAAACAAGUCACACAAAUUUUGGUUUCUCAGUACAUAGAAAACUGUGUUUAAAACUAUGUUUACUGUAGUGUGUAGUAGCACCAUGUCUAAAAGAACAGUGUACAUACUUUAAUAAAAAAAAUACUUGACUGCUAAAAAAUGCCAACGAUCAUCUCAGCCUUCAACAAGUCUUCAUCUUUUUAUUGGUGGCAGGUCUUGCCUCAAGGUGUUGAUGGCAGCUGACUGAUCAGAGUGGUGGUUGUUGAAGGCUGUGGUGACUGUGGCAAUUUCCUAAAAUAAGACAAAAAUGAAAUUUGCCACAUUGAUUGACUCUUCUUUCACAAAAGAUUUCUCUCUGUAGUAUGCAGUGCUGGAGAUUCCAUCUGAAGAAAUGACUUUCUUUAUUCAUCCAUAAGAAACAAUUCUUUAUCCAUUCGUUUUAUCAUGAGACUGAAGCAAUUCAAUCGUGUUCAGGCUCCACUUCUAAUUCUAGUUUUCUUGCUGUUUCCACCAAAUCUGUAAUUACUUCCUCCAGUGAAGCCUUAAAGCCCUCAAAGUUAUCCAUAAGGGUCAGAAUAAACUUCUUUCACACUCGUAUUAAUGUUGACAAUUUGAUGUCCUCCUGUGAAUCACAAAUCUUUUUAAUGCCAUCUAGAAUAGUAAAUCCUUUCCAGAAGGUUUUCAACCUACUUACUCAUAUCCAUCAGAGGAAUCACCAUCUGUGUCAGCUACAGACUUAUGAAAUAUAUUUCUUAAAUAACAAAACUUGAAAGUCAAAUCUACUCGAUCCGUGGGCUGCAGAAUAGAUUUGAGGGUAGCUUGCAUAAAAACAGCGUUUAUCUCCUUGUGCAUCUCCAUCAGAGCUCUUGGGUAGACGAGGUACAUUGUCAAUGAGAAGUAAUAUUUUGAAAGGAAUCUUUCUUUCUGAGCAGAACGUCUCAAAGCAGUAGGGCUUAAAAUAUUUAGUAAACCAUGCUGUAGAUGGAUGUGCUAUCAUCUAGAUUUGUUCUUCCAUUUAUAGAGGAGAGGCAGAGUAGAUUUAACAUAAUUCUUAGAGGCUCUAGGAUUUUUGAAAUGACAAAUGCACACUGGCUUCAACUUGAAGUCACCAGCAUUAGUUCCUAACAGGAGAGUCAGCCUGUUCUUUGUAGUUUCUACGCCAGUCAUUGACUUCUCCUCUCUAGCUAUGAAAGUCCUAGAUGGCGUCUCCUCCCAAUAUAAGUUCGUUUCAUCUCCAUUGGAAAUCUGUUGUUUAGUAUAGCCACCUUCAUUAGUGAUCUUUGCUAGAUCUGGAUAACUUACUGCAGCUUGUACCUCAGCACUUGCAACUGCACCUUGCACUUUUAUGUUACAGAGAUGGCUUCUUUCUUUACACCUCAUGAACCAACCUCUACCAGCUUCCAGCUUUUCUUCUGCAGCUUCCUCACCUCUCAGCCUUCAUAGAACUGAAGAAAGUUAAGACUUUGCCCUGAAUUGGACUUUGGCUUAAAAGAAUGUUGUGGCUAGUUUGAUCUUGUAUCCAGACCACUAAAACUUCCAUAUCAGUAGUAAGUCUGUUUUGCUUUCUUAUCAUUCAUACGUUCACUGGAGUAACACUUUUAAUUUUCUUCAGGAACUUUUCCUUUGUAUUCAUAACUUGACUCUUUCAUACAAAAGGCCAGUUUUUUGCCUCCGUCAGCUUUCUACAUCCCCUCCUCACUAAGCUUGAUCAUUUCUAGUUUUUUAUUUAAAAUGAAAGACUUGCAAUUCUUUUUUGGUUUGAACACUUAGGUGGCAUUAUAGGGUUAUUAACUGUCCUAAUUUCAAUACCGUGGUAUCUCAGGGAAUAGGAAGCCCAAGGAGAAGGGGAGAGAGACCUCGUGGUAGGGGGCAGGAGGGUGGAGGUUAGUUGGUGAAGCAAUCAAAACAUACACAGCAUUUAUCAAUUAAGUUUACUGUCUUCUAUGGCUGUGGUUUAUGGCACCCCAAAACAAUUACAGUGAUAACAUCAAAGAUGUUAUCAAAGAUCAUAACAGAUAUCAUAGAUAUCAUAGAUCACCAUAACAGAUAUAAUAAUGGAAAAGCUUGAAGUAUUGUGAGAAUUACCAGAAUAUGACACACAGACAAAAGUAAGCUCAUGCUGUUGGGAAAAAAAUGGCCUUGAUAGACUUGCUUAAUGCAGGGUUGCUACAAACCUUCAAUUGGUUAAAAAAAAAAAAAAAAAAAUCGCAGUAUCUGCCUAUUUGGGAAAAACUUUCAAACCAUGUUUUCACUGUGCUCUCACACCACAAUUAA